CCUACGGGAGGCUGCAGUGAGGAAUAUUGGUCAAUGGACGAGAGUCUGAACCAGCCAAGUAGCGUGAAGGAUGACUGCCCUAUGUGUUGUAAACUUCUUUUAUAUGGGAAUAAAAUGUUCCACGUGUGGGAUUUUGUAUGUACCAUAUGAAUAAGGAUCGGCUAACACCGGGCCAGCAGCCGCGGUAAUACGGAGGAUCCGAGCGUUAUCCGGAUUUAUUGGGUUUAAAGGGAGCGUAGGUGGAUUGUUAAGUCAGUUGUGAAAGUUUGCGGCUCAACCGUAAAAUUGCAGUUGAAACUGGCAGUCUUGAGUACAGUAGAGGUGGGCGGAAUUCGUGGUGUAGCGGUGAAAUGCUUAGAUAUCACGAAGAACUCCGAUUGCGAAGGCAGUUCACUGGACUGCAACUGACACUGAGGCUCGAAAGUGUGGGUAUCAAACAGGAUUAGAUACCCUUGUAGUC
rnacentral:rRNA from 1 species